AAAUUUUUAACAAAAAAACAACCGACUUCAAUAACACUUUUCCAAAACAAUAGAUAUGCGCUAAAUGUAUAAAAAUAAUUACGCAUUUUUAUACAAUCUAAUUCUAGUUACGAUUAUUGUAAUUUUUGGAAUCGGGGUCCUUCCGCCGCGAUUGAAUUUGAAGUACACUAACAACUUGCCUAAAUAUGUGCAGAUAACCUAAAUUUUUCAUUGCAGCAAUGAACGUAAGCGCUUAAUUGAAGAGUUCCGUUACUUUGCGAUGGAUUCCAUAAUCAGAACCUAACCAAACUAUCUUUGAAGUAUAUCCUUUCCAAUCAAAAAAGAUUCAUCGAAAUCGGUUGUCGCGAUAUUGAGGUAUUCGUAAAUUUAUCAUUCAAUUUGCUAUACGUAUGUAUAGCAUAUUUUAAAACUUCUUGAUUUUUCUCAUGGAUGCCAUUGUCAGAUCUGGACCAAAUUACAAUUACUGGGAUCACACGGAAAGUACCAGCUUUCAAAUAAAAAAAGAAUUAUAAAAAUCGGUUCACCCAGUCCAAAGUUUUGAGGUAACAUACUUAAAAAAAAUACCGACGAAUCGAGAACCCCCUCUUUUUUGAAGUUGGUUAAAAAGGCGUGUUACUUUGUUGAAGGCCGGUUAUUCUUGAAAUAUCUCUAGUGUUGAUAUAAAGUAUGCAAAAGGGGCACCAUUGUUUACCUUACCGUAUUUUGGAAGCAAGUUUUGGAAUAGGUAGACGUAUAUAAACAUCACACGAAGUUGCGAAAUCAAUUUAAUUUGGUUUAAGUAACCACAAUCGCGUUUUACUAUACACUGCAACUACUACUACUAUCUUGCUGUAACGGUUUGUGUUCAUGUCGCUUUCGCGGUGGAUGUUUAGAUUUAUGCUCAUGUCGAGGUAUCAAUCCAGGUGGAUGAUUAGAUUUAUGCUCAUGUCGAGGUAUCAAUCCAGGUGGAUGAUUAGAUUUAUGCUCAUGUCGAGGUAUCAAUCCAGGUGGAUGAUUAGAUUUAUGCUCAUGUCGAGGUAUCAAUCCAGGUGGAUGUUGCGAUCUUUUCUCAGGCAAAGGCCAUAAUCCAGAUGGAUGUUGUGAUCCUCCGUGCUCAUGCCGAGCUAUCAAUCCAGGUGGAUGUUGUGAUUCAUUCUCAUAAUAAGGUACGAUACCAGGUGGAUGUGGAGGCCACAAUCCAGGUGGAUAUGGAGGAAUCACUCCAGGUGGAUGUGGAGGCCACAAUCCAGGUGGAUGAUCUGUAGGCCACAAUCCAGGUGGAUGUGGAGGCAACAAUCCAGGUGGAUGUUGAGGUAACAAUCCAGUGUGAUAUUGGUCUCCAUUCUCAGUCAGAGGAUACAGUUCAGAUGGAUCUUGAGGAAUCAGUCCGGGUGGAUGUUCAGGCAACAAUCCAGGUGGAUGUGGAGGCCACAAUCCAGGUGGAUAUGGAGGCACCACUCCAGGUGGAUGUGGAGGCCACAAUCCAGGUGGAUGAUGUGGAGGCCAAAAUCCAGGUGGAUGUGGAGGCAACAAUCCAGGUGGAUGGUGCGGCAUAGGUCCAAAAAGCUUUUUCAUUUCGUGCUUAGUAUAGUCAGCGUAUUUAUUAAUAACAAAUGCCUCCGGUUCCUGCUGGUUCAACGUUAUAAUCUUUUUCAAGUUUCUCACAAAAGCAUUGUAGUGUAUAUUUUUGUCAUCCUCACUGUCAUAUUGCCUUUCGUAAUCCUUCUGGAAUUUCUCGAACAGUAUCUGUGCGUCACGAAUAUCAUACUUCGGUUUAUUAAUAUCUUUAGUGCACGCCAACCCCACCAACAGGAGCAAUACGCCAAGUGUACAUCGCAACAUUGU